ensembl:lncRNA
GCGUUCCUACGUGAAAGUAACGGUAAUCUAAUUACCGUUUUGCAAUAGUAAUCCCUUACAUUACUCGUUACUUGAAAAAAGUAAUCAGAUUACAGUAACGCGUUACAAGUAACGCGUUACUGCCCAUCUCUGGUAAUGAGGGGUACCACUGGAGGAGUGCAGCGUAAGAUACAGGACAUUUAUGCUAACGCUCACUACGUACAUUGUUAUGCCCAUCAGUUAAACCUGGUAAUGCAACAAGCAACCUCCCACAUCCCUCAAAUCAGUCACUUUUUUUUCCGACAUAGCAGGAUUCGCUUCUUUUUUUUACUAAAUCGAGCAAGAGGACUGCAGUGCUUGACGAGGUGGUGGCGCACCGACUUCCAAGUGCAUCGGCAACCCGUUGGAACUUCAACAGUCGUGCUGUGAAUACAGUGUAUGAACAUAAAGACGAUCUGGUGAGCUGUUUUCAGACCAUCCGUAACAGUGAAGGAUUUGAUGCCCCUACAAAGAGAGAUGCCGGUGGUUUCGUGAGAAUGCUGGAAGACGAAGCUUUCUGUUUUUUUCCUGGCCUUGUUUCACAAGAUAAUGCCACAUGUAGACAUGCUGUAUAACCACCUACAGAAGAGAAACAUCGAUUCUGUCACCAUCGCAGGGAUCACCCAGACAUUCAUCAGCCGCAUGCAGGCUAUCAGGGAGGCACUUCCUAAUCUGGUUGUGGAUGAGGAGUACAGGGGACCUGUUCAAGACCCACCCACAAAGAGACGGAGAACAUUGGGGAAGACAGGCAACACCAUUUGGCACUGGAGGUGUGCGACACCAUUAUGAGCCAUGCCAAGGAGAGGUUUUCUUUCACCAAGCACCUUGUCAGCGCCACUCUGUUGCAAGGAGACUUGUUCCAACAACACAGCAAAAAUUUUCCAGAUGCAGCACUACAAACCACAGUGGAAGCCUAUCCCUCAUUGGACAAAGCCAGACUUAAAACAGAACUGUCCCUGAUCUACGACAACGAGGAGUUUCAGAGUUGUAGUGGUGCGCUGGC